CAAGCAGCCUUGAUCCAUGGAUCUUUCCCAGAACACAGAGUGACCAUGAGGAUAAGAGCCUUGGUAUUUGUUACAAAUGUGGUUAUGUGGGGUGAGCAUAAAAGGAGCUGGAAACUCUGGGGUUCACUGCUUUGUCUAGGGAAGCAUUCCAUGUCAAGCCUGAGGGACUCUGAGAAUCCCAGUCAUGACAGCAGGUGAUGAGAAGCUGAAGGCUUGGAAGGCAAAUGAAGAAAUGAAUGGGGAGAAAGCUGAAAGGGUUCUUUGGAGCUGGAGACACAACAGGGGCCACGAAGGAGUGGAGUUAUCCAGGAGAGCUGAGCCAUGUGAGUGGGGCAGGUUGAAUGUUCUAACUGUGUGUCAUGGUUCCAAGGAAACCACUGGGGAGCAGCAGGGUAAAGUUUUUUUGUUUCUUUGUUUUGUUUUGAAGUUCAAGUUUAGGGGGAGUGUUCUGUGGAGGAGAAACUUAGAGACUGAGCCUGUCAUGUGGUCUUUGGUAAAACAUGACUGACAUCUCAAGUGCAAGGGAAGCAGCAGCCCAUAAUAGCAAAGGAUAAAAUCACCAGAAUUGAAGUUAGAAGUCACUACUUUGAGUUUUCACUCUGCCACAGAUGAGGUAUAUAUAACGUUGUGAUAGGGUGCUUGGGUGCCUGUGUUUGGACCUCAGUUUCUCCCUAGCCUCAGAAACACUAUCCCUGGCAGUUCCUCCCCCCCCCCCCGUCCCCCAUCCCCAGCCCAAGGACAGUGUGCCUAGCAAUUACUCAUUAGUGAGCCCUAGCAAGAUCUUUCUCUCUCUCCCUGGUGCACUUACUAAUUGGACCUGAAGGAAUUAUUAGUUUGAACUGGCUUUGCACUGGGUCAUAAAAAUAUUCUUACCCACUAGACUAUCUAUACUAUGACCCUAUCUCAUUAUCCAGCUCCUGGACUCCUCAUUAUCUGUAUUUUAGACCUAAGACACAUAUAUACUCCCUACAUCUAUCUUGUCAAAGAAGACAUUGAUUGAUGGCAAAUUGGGCGAUUCUCAGUUGCCCCUGAGUGCUAGUUAACUUAGUGAAGUAGCAGGCCUAAAACCAUACCUCCAUGUGGCCCCUGUUGUGGGCUUUUCCUAGUGACCUCUGGGUAAAACACCUGCACAGUAGAUACAAAAAGUACAUGUUCCUUUAAGAACUGACUACUCCUUAACCACUCCCUAAUCCAACCUGAAUUACUGAGUUAGCAUAUUUGGCCCAUGUUUCACUAUAUUUUAUCUUAUAUAAACUUUCACUCUACCCCUCUAAAGUCCCAGGUUCCUUAAGAAUCUUUGCCUGCUGAAAAGCAUAACAGUAAAUCUUUGCCAACUUGGCUCAAAAAAUGCUUGAGUCUGUGAAUUCAUUCCAGAGGACCCUGUCCUUCAGUCUGUUCUUUGAGGGGUCUCAACCUCUCAGACCUCAACACUUGGGUUUUAUCUCUCUAAUAAACUGUAAUAUGUGCUUCA
rnacentral:lncRNA from 1 species